rnacentral:rRNA from 1 species
UACGGAGGAUGCGAGCGUUAUCCGGAUUUAUUGGGUUUAAAGGGUGCGUAGGCGGGCUUUUAAGUCAGCGGUAAAAAUUCGGGGCUCAACCCCGUCCGGCCGUUGAAACUGGGGGUCUUGAGUGGGCGAGAAGAAGGCGGAAUGCGUGGUGUAGCGGUGAAAUGCAUAGAUAUCACGCAGAGCCCCGAUUGCGAAGGCAGCCUUCCGGCGCCCUACUGACGCUGAGGCACGAAAGUGCGGGUAUCGAACAGG